GACGAACGCUGGCGGCGUGCCUAAUACAUGCAAGUCGAACGCUUCUUUCCUCCCGAGUGCUUGCACUCAAUUGGAAAGAGGAGUGGCGGACGGGUGAGUAACACGUGGGUAACCUACCCAUCAGAGGGGGAUAACACUUGGAAACAGGUGCUAAUACCGCAUAACAGUUUAUGCCGCAUGGCAUAAGAGUGAAAGGCGCUUUCGGGUGUCGCUGAUGGAUAGACCCGCGGUGCAUUAGCUAGUUGGUGAGGUAACGGCUCACCAAGGCCACGAUGCAUAGCCGACCUGAGAGGGUGAUCGGCCACACUGGGACUGAGACACGGCCCAGACUCCUACGGGAGGCAGCAGUAGGGAAUCUUCGGCAAUGGACGAAAGUCUGACCGAGCAACGCCGCGUGAGUGAAGAAGGUGUUCGGAUCGUAAAACUCUGUUGUUAGAGAAGAACAAGGACGUUAGUAACUGAACGUCCCCUGACGGUAUCUAACCAGAAAGCCACGGCUAACUACGUG
rnacentral:rRNA from 1 species